AACAGGAUUAGAUACCCUGGUAGUCCACGCCGUAAACGAUGUCGACUUGGAGGUUGUGCCCUUGAGGCGUGGCUUCCGGAGCUAACGCGUUAAGUCGACUGCCUGGGGAGUACGGCCGCAAGGUUAAAACUCAAAUGAAUUGACGGGGGCCCGCACAAGCGGUGGAGCAUGUGGUUUAAUUCGAUGCAACGCGAAGAACCUUACCUGGUCUUGACAUCCACGGAAGUUUUCAGAGAUGAGAAUGUGCCUUCGGGAACCGUGAGACAGGUGCUGCAUGGCUGUCGUCAGCUCGUGUUGUGAAAUGUUGGGUUAAGUCCCGCAACGAGCGCAACCCUUAUCCUUUGUUGCCAGCGGUCCGGCCGGGAACUCAAAGGAGACUGCCAGUGAUAAACUGGAGGAAGGUGGGGAUGACGUCAAGUCAUCAUGGCCCUUACGACCAGGGCUACACACGUGCUACAAUGGCGCAUACAAAGAGAAGCGACCUCGCGAGAGCAAGCGGACCUCAUAAAGUGCGUCGUAGUCCGGAUUGGAGUCUGCAACUCGACUCCAUGAAGUCGGAAUCGCUAGUAAUCGUGGAUCAGAAUGCCACGGUGAAUACGUUCCCGGGCCUUGUACACACCGCCCGUCACACCAUGGGAGUGGGUUGCAAAAGAAGUAGGUAGCUUAACCUUCGGGAGGGCGCUUACCACUUUGUGAUUCAUGACUGGGGUGAAGUCGUAACAAGGUAACC
rnacentral:rRNA from 1 species